rnacentral:lncRNA from 1 species
CAAACAAUCACACUGGAAGGGGAAGAUGUAACUAGGCCAAAGGUCAUGGAGUAUGACUAGGUUUCAAAUAACUUAUGUCAGGCCUAAAAACAGAUGCCUCGGCAGGAACUAUAUUAAGCAAAUUUAUGAUGUUAUUUGCAUGAAUAGCUCUUUUAAUCUUCACAAUUAUCCUAUAAAGUGAGUGCUAUUGUUAUCCUCCUUUUACUGAUGAGAAAACUAAGGCAUAGAUAAUUAAGCAGUGUUUCCAAGGCCAUGAAGCUAGUAAAUGCAGAGCUGAGGUUCAAAUCCAAGGAAUCUGACUCCAGAGCCUUUCUUGGUCACUAUUUCACAUGCUGUCUCUAAAAACUGUAACAAACACAUGCAAACACAAACAUGCACAUUCAGAUAUUCCAUAUCAGAUUGUGACUUGGUGGAGACCACCACAUCAUGAACUAGUGCCACCAGACUAACUUUUUAGAGAAAAAAACCUCAUUCAUCCAUUCAUUCAAUGAACAAAUGUUUAUUGAGUAUGUACUAUAUGUUUCCAAGACCUUCCUGUAACUAUAUGGAUAAGAAAGAUCAUAGCUCUACCUUCAUUUCUUUUUUGUUUUGUUUUGAGAUGGAGUUUCACUCUUGUUGUCCAGGCUGGAGUGCAAUGGCACAAUCUCAGCUCACUGCCAAUGGUACACAUCUCUUCUUAAACUGAUAUUCAGAAAUACUCAUUCAGUCAAUGGUACACAUCUCUUCUUAACCUGAUAUUCAGAAAUAUCGCACUAAUAACUUGAAAUUGGCCAUAGUGGAAGUAUUUACACCAUGGUAAUUGGCAAAUCCUACAAACCAGGUCGUUUGUUGCUCACUGCAACCUCCGCCUCGUGGGUUCAAGUGAUUCUCCUGCCUCAGCCUCCCAAGUAGGUGGGAUUAUAGGUGAGCACCACCAUGCCCAGCUAAUUUUGUAUUUUUAGUAGAGACAGGGUUUCACCAUGUUGGUCAGGUUGGUCUCGAACUCAUGACCUCAAGUAAUCCACUCGCCUCAGCCUCCCAAAGUGCUGGGAUUACAGACAUAAGCCACUGUGCCUGGCCUCUACCCUCAUUUCUUAAAAAUACUCAGAUCUGGUUCUUGCUUUGGCAGCAAACAUCCUAAAGUUGGAAUGAUACACAAUUAUCAUGGCUGCUGCCCAAGGAUGAUAUGAAAAUUCAUGAAAUGUUCCAUAUAAAAAAGAAACGGAAAAAAAAUUCAGGCUGUACUUACCCAUUCACUUAAAAUCAAGCCCAGCAUAAUAGUGAGCUGUGCAAUAACUGGCAAGUGAGGGUACCAGGUGGUAAACAGAACAUAUUAAUCAUUUGAAUGUUUAUUAUGAUUUGGAUGCUACUCAGUGGACUUGUAUUCGUGACAAGACAUGUUGGCAGCAGAUUCAGUUUUUAAACAAAAAUCUGCUUUUUCAAGCAUUUAGAUUAGUUUAGUUGAAGGAUAUCCUGAGAGUACCAGCAUGUUGUUAAAGGCCGUGACCAUUUGCAAUCACACAUAGGUGGGGAUCAGGAUUUUAUUGAUUCCAUGUAACAGAACCAUCAGACAGGAGGAAACACUUGAUGCUGAGGCCCAACUAAACCUAAUUUAAGUUUUUUAUUUUUAGACCAGGCUCCGUGUCUCAUGCCUGGACUCCCAGUACUUUGGGAGGUGGAGACAGGAGGAUUGCUUGAGUCCAGGAAUUUCUACAAAAAAUUUAAAAAAUUAACCAAGCAUGGCAGUGUGUGCCUGUAGUCCUAGCUACUCAGGAGGCUGAGGAGGGAGGAUUGCUUGAGCCCAGAAGGUAGAGGUUACAGUGAGCUGUGAUUGUGCCACUGCAUUCCAGCCUGGGAGACAGAGUGACACCUUGUCUCAAAAAAAAUUGUUUUUUUCAUUGAGAGAGGAUAAAAUUUUGAUUGAGGUUCAAAAUUGGUGUUCCCUAUCAUCAAAAUCUAUUGCAGACGUUCAUCUGUUAAUACUAAUGUGUAAUGAAAUUUUAUGUAUUUCAACUGUAAAAAUGUCUUUUUAGACAGGUACUACCAAAUACUGAUAGCAAUUUAUGAGCAUAUAAUUUUAGUUGAGCAUAUUUAUUGCUGGGAAGGUAUUUACAGAAUCUCCUCUGGUUGUUCUUCUGUGUCCUUGGAAUAUCCUUUAUAACAAACUGGUAAACUUAAGUGUUUCCCUGAGUUCUAUGAGCCAUUCUAAUGAAUGAUCAAACCCAAGGAGUGGCUUAUGGAAACCUCUGAUUUAUAGCCUUGGUCAGAAGCACAGGAGGCCUGUACUUGCAACUGGGACCUGAAGUAGGAGCCUGUCUUGCAGGACUGAGCCUUUAACUUAUGAGUUCUGAAGCUAACUCCAGGUAGAUGGUGUCAGAAUUGACUGAAAUUUAGGACAAGCUGGUGUCCACUGGAGAAUGGAUGUGUGGGAAGAAAAAAAAACCACACGUUUGGUAUCAGAAAUGAAGUACAAGAAUGAGUGUGAGUAUAGAAAGGAAAAGGUUUUUUUCCUAUUAUUCAGCUUGUAAGUAGUGAAGUUGGAUUGCAACACAGAAUGACUAGCCCCAAGCCUAUGCUUAUAUAUUAUUUUUUAUAUUUGUAUCAUAGUCUACGAACUGAUUUAUUUUUAUUUUUUAUUUUAUUUUACUUUAUUUUUUUGAGAUGGAGUCUCGCUUUGUCACCCAAGCUGGAGUACAGUGGUACAAUCUCGGCUCACUGCAACCUCCCCAUCCUGGGUUCAAGCAAUUCUCCUGCCUUAGCCUCCCGAGUAGCUGGGAUUACAGGUGCCCGCCCCCACACCGGCUAAUUUUCUUGUAUUUUUAUUAGAGACGGGGUUUCACCAUGUUGGCCAUACUGGUCUCAAACUCCUGACCUCAAGUGAUCUGCCCACCUCAGCCUCCCAAAGUGUUGGGAUUACAGGUGUGAGCCACCGCGCCUGGCCUGAUUUUAUUUUAUUUUAUUUAUUUAUAUUUUUUUGAGAUGGAAUCUUGCUCUGUUG